rnacentral:rRNA from 1 species
GAUGAACGCUGGCGGCGUGCUUAACACAUGCAAGUCGAACGAUGAAGCCCAGCUUGCUGGGUGGAUUAGUGGCGAACGGGUGAGUAACACGUGAGUAACCUGCCCUUAACUCUGGGAUAGGCCUGGGAAACUGGGUCUAAUACCGGAUAGGAGCGCCUACCGCAUGGUGGGUGUUGGAAAGAUUUAUCGGUUUUGGAUGGACUCGCGGCCUAUCAGCUUGUUGGUGAGGUAAUGGCUCACCAAGGCGACGACGGGUAGCCGGCCUGAGAGGGUGACCGGCCAUACUGGGACUGAGACACGGCCCAGACUCCUACGGGAGGCAGCAGUGGGGAAUAUUGCACAAUGGGCGAAAGCCUGAUGCAGCGACGCCGCGUGAGGGAUGACGGCCUUCGGGUUGUAAACCUCUUUCAGUAGGGAAGAAGCGAAAGUGACGGUACCUGCAGAAGAAGCACCGGCUAACUACGUG